GAUGAACGCUGGCGGCGUGCCUAAUACAUGCAGGUCGAGCGAACGGACGAGAAGCUUGCUUCUCUGAUGUUAGCGGCGGACGGGUGAGUAACACGUGGAUAACCUACCUAUAAGACUGGGAUAACUUCGGGAAACCGGAGCUAAUACCGGAUAAUAUUUUGAACCGCAUGGUUCAAAAGUGAAAGACGGUCUUGCUGUCACUUAUAGAUGGAUCCGCGCUGCAUUAGCUAGUUGGUAAGGUAACGGCUUACCAAGGCAACGAUGCAUAGCCGACCUGAGAGGGUGAGCGGCCACACUGGAACUGAGACACGGUCCAGACUCCUACGGGAGGCAGCAGUAGGGAAUCUUCCGCAAUGGGCGAAAGCCUGACGGAGCAACGCCGCGUGAGUGAUGAAGGUCUUCGGAUCGUAAAACUCUGUUAUUAGGGAAGAACAUAUGUGUAAGUAACUGUGCACAUCUUGACGGUACCUAAUCAGAAAGCCACGGCUAACUACGUG
rnacentral:rRNA from 1 species